UUCCGGUUGAUCCUGCCGGCGGCCACUGCUAUCAGGUUUCGAUUAAGCCAUGCGAGUCAAAGGAUCGCAAGAUACUGGCAUACUGCUCAGUAACACGCGGACAAUCUACCCCCAGAUGGAGUAUAACCUCGGGAAACUGAGGCUAAUCCUCCAUAGUCAUCGUAUGAUGGAAGGCUUCGAUGAUGAAAGCUUCGGCGUCUGAGGAUGAGUCUGCGGCCUAUCAGGUAGUAUGUGGUGUAAAGGACCACAUAGCCUUAGACGGGUACGGGCCCUGAGAGGGGUAGCCCGGAGAUGGACUCUGAGACACUAGUCCAGGCCCUACGGGGCGCAGCAGGCGCGAAAACUGUGCAAUGCGCGAAAGCGCGACACGGGAAACCUGAGUGCUCUGACUUUGUCAGAGCUUUUCCUAAGUCUAAAACGCUUAGGGAAUAAGAGCUGGGCAAGACGGGUGCCAGCCGCCGCGGUAACACCCGCAGCUCGAGUGGUGGUCACUUUUAUUGAGCCUAAAGCGUUCGUAGCCGGCUUCGUAAAUCUCCAGGAAAAUUCCUCUGCUUAACAGAGGAUCUUCUGGAGAGACUGCGGAGCUAGGGACCGGGUGAGGUUGAAGGUACUUUCUGGGUAGGGGUAAAAUCCUGUAAUCCUGAAAGGACGACCGGUGGCGAAGGCGUUCAACUAGAACGGAUCCGACGGUGAGGAACGAGGGCUAGGGGAGCAAACCGGAUUAGAUACCCGGGUAGUCCUAGCUGUAAACACUGCCCACUUGGUGUUGCAUCUCCUUUAUGGGGGUGCAGUGCCGUAGCGAAGGUGUUAAGUGGGCCGCUUGGGGAGUAUGGUCGCAAGGCUGAAACUUAAAGGAAUUGGCGGGGGAGCACCGCAACGGGAGGAGCGUGCGGUUUAAUUGGAUUCAACGCCGGG
rnacentral:rRNA from 1 species